ACAGAGGUGGCGAGCGUUGUUCGGAUUUAUUGGGCGUAAAGCGAACGCAGGUGGUUUGGUAAGUCAGAGGUGAAAGUCCGCAGCUUAACUGCGGCACUGCCUUUGAUACUGCCUUUCUUGAGUGCAUGAGGGGGAAGCGGAAUUCCGAGUGUAGAGGUGAAAUUCGUAGAUAUUCGGAGGAACACCGGUGGCGAAGGCGGCUUCCUGGCAUGUAACUGACACUCAUGUUCGAAAGCGUGGGUAGCAAACAGGAUUAGAUACCCUGGUAGUCCACGCCCUAAACGAUGGGCACUAGGUGUGGGAGGUAUCGACCCCUUCCGUGCCGCAGCUAACGCAUUAAGUGCCCCGCCUGGGGAGUACGGCCGCAAGGUUG
rnacentral:rRNA from 1 species